rnacentral:rRNA from 1 species
AGAGGCCUCGAGCGUUAAUCGGAAUCACUGGGCUUAAAGCGUGCGUAGGCGGACGUGCAAGCAUGUUGUGAAAUCCCAUGGCUCAACCAUGGAACUGCUUCGUGAACUGCACGUCUUGAGACAAGUAGGGGCGGUCGGAACGAUAGGUGGAGCGGUGAAAUGCGUAGAUAUCUAUCGGAACGCCGAAGGAGAAGUCAGGCCGCUGGGCUUGUUCUGACGCUGAGGUACGAAAGCGUGGGGAGCAAACGGGACUAGAUACCCCGGUAGUCCACGCUGUAAACGAUGCGCACUAGAUCGAGGAGGUUUGACACCCCCUUGGUCGAAGCAAAAGUGUUUAGUGCGCCGCCUGGGGAGUACGGUCGCAAGGCUA